AUCCAACUGACGAGUUCUAACUAAAACGAAACGCGCGUUCUGGAU
rnacentral:hammerhead_ribozyme from 1 species